CUUCCACCAAUAUAACUUUUUAGAGUUUGGUGUCAAUUGAUGUGUUGCUGUUGGCUCAAAAAUAAUAUUGGAAGGGAGUAAUGGGCACAUUAAUCUUGUUGUAUUGACGUAAAAGGUCCACUUCUGCAUAGAUGCAGGUUUUACUGAUACAGCACACUGUUUAUUUUGCAUGUAAAAUAUGAAUCAGUGGUUCCAAACAGCACCAACAUUCGUUCUACAACUGCACAUAUAAUGUACAAGUUUGUUUCAAUGUCAUCCGUACAUUGCUAUACCAGCUCAAUUCAAUAAUCUGUUGGAGUUUUUUCUUCUCUUUAAUCUAAAAAGGUUUUACUUGCAUUAGAAAAAUAAUCAUCUGAAAUGUAAAAAGAGGCUAACUGGGGCUAACUUUGACCCAAAUGCGAUGCACGAAUAGUGAUUUUUAAAUGAAUGCAUCCCAGCGGAGUUCCCAUCGCGGCCUGUUUGGCACCAUAACACACUUUGAGACACACUUUCAGGCCUCAGUCACUUUGAUAUUUUCAGGUUAAAUGCUUCAGCGACCUGUUAUUUCACAAGCUCGUUACACAUUUUUCUCUUAUUCGCUGGGUAAAGAGAAAUACCUGAGACUUGAUACUGCUCAUUAUCUCGUGUUUUCUCCAGCCUCCUGCCUGAUGCCCAACCCCAGGCUCACCUGCCACUGUAAUCUUUUGCUUAUUCUUCAAAGCGAAUGGUUCUUAGAGUAUUUGCACUGAGGAGUUGUGUGACUAGUCAUAAAAAAAUGAAUAGUAACUGACAUUGAAAAAAUAAAAGUUAUUUUUAUAGAAGCAAAAUUGAAUUCUGUUCAAAUGUAUUAUACCUAAUCAUGGAACCAAAGAGGCCAAGAGGUUUAGCUAUUGAAAGAUGGCAAUGUUGUCAUGUUUUGUUUGUAAAUGAUGUUGUGACAGUUAAGAGGCCUAAACACUGUAUCAGGGUAUAGUAUCAGUCCAUAAUCUGCUUAAUCCUUUUUCUAUUUUGUACCUAGACAUGGAAUAUUUCAUAUUUUUUCAUCAGAUGACUUAAAUAUUCCUAGUUUCCUCGUUUUGUUAGCAUCCUUCCAUUUAGAGUAAAGCCCACACCAUCCAGUCUCUGUACAGUCGAUGUAACAUAUGAAUAUGCUUUUGAAAUAUUUCGUUCUUUGUUAUUGUUGAAAAAUAAAGUUCUUAUUACAGAU
ensembl:lncRNA